CUUCCAUACCCUCCCUUGUGGCUCCCAUGCCCGUGUUUCCCACGUGUCCUCGCGGCCCUGACUGCUCUCCUGCUUCUUUGUGGGACCUCCCAACUCCCCCAGUGUCCUCCAGAGACCUCCAUGUUCCCGUGUGAGCUCGUUUUUUUCACGUUUCGUGUGUGGCCCCUGUGUGUCCUCCCGUGUUCCCUGCAUGAGUCCUACAUGAGCCUUGCAUGUCCUCCUGUGUCUUCCCAUGUCCCCACAGCAGGACCCUUCGCAGCUCCUUCCUGCUCCUUCUGCUGGUCAGUGCCUCCUGGCUCUUUGGGCUCCUGGCAGUCAACCACAGCAUCCUGGCCUUCCACUACCUCCAUGCCGGACUCUGCGGCCUCCAGGUGACUCUGGUGCCCCUCCCUCGCCCCAGAAGCAGGUGGACCUUCAGUAGGCUGGGGCCAUCCCUAGGCAGAUGCCGACCCUAGGCCUGGAGCUGACUCUUACUGGAUAACUUUGCCAGGCUGGGUACUACCGCAGGCCAGACACUGGCCCUAGCUGCUGCCCCCAGGCCUGGAGCUGACUCUAACUUAGGCACUGAUCCCAGACUGAGUGCUGAUCUUGGAUUGACCUUCACCAACACCAAGGCUCCCGGCCCCGCCCCUUGCUGAUCCACACCGACCUUACUGACUCCAGCCACUCCUGCUGCUCCAACCUCUCCCCUGCUGACCUUCCCCGACUCCCUUACUGAGUCCGGCAUGGGCUCCUCACUGACCCACACUAGCCUACAGUGACUGACCCCAUUGCUGACCCACAGUGACUUAUACUGGUCCCUGAUUGACCCCUGCCGACCUUCUUUGACCCUUGCUAACCCACAGGGCCUGGCGGUGCUGCUGCUCUUCUGUGUCCUGAAUGCAGACGCUCGGGCUGCCUGGACGCCAGCCUGUCUGGGCAGGAAGGCAGCGCCUGAGGAGGCAAGGCCAGCACCUGGGACGGUGAGUCGGGAUGGGGGCCCUGAGAAGCCAGGGUUUGAGGCUGCUUCAGGGUUGGCUCACACUCUGUCCCCACCACCCCCAGGUACCUGGGGCCUACAACAACACGGCUCUCUUUGAGGAGAGUGGCCUCAUCCGCAUCACUCUGGGCGCCUCCACCGUCUCCUCUGUGAGCAGUGCCCGCUCCGGCCGGACCCAGGACCAGGACAGCCAGCGGGGCCGCAGCUACCUCAGGGACAAUGUCCUGGUUCGACAUGGCUCAGCCGCUGACCACACUGACCACAGCCUCCAGGCUCAUGCUGGCCCCACUGACCUGGACGUGGCCAUGUUCCAUCGAGAUGCUGGUGGAGUUGGGGCCUGGGGCAGGGAGGAGGGAGGCAGAGGAUCUCUCCCCAUCCCCUUUUCUUCUACCCCAUACUGGGAGCAGUGGCUGACUGGGGUGGGACGAUCUCCCCCAAGGUCCCUGCCUCAGGAGGCACCUCCCUCUCCAGCCCUGGUUCUCCCAGUCCACUCCUGAUUCGUCCUUCCCUCUGAUAAGUUCCAGCCCUUCUGCUUCUGCCUCCACUUCAAGCUCUGCCCUGGUUCCCGUCCCCAACCCUAACCCCCUUGCCGUACCCACCUCUAGACCCUCAACUCCAAGUUCCCUUAUCUCCAAGUCCCUUACCUCUGAAAGUACUUCUGACUUUCCCAACUCCAGGCGCAGACUCCGACUCUGACAGUGACCUGUCCUUGGAGGAGGAGAGGAGUCUCUCCAUUCCAUCUUCAGAAAGCGAGGACAAUGGCCGGACGCGGGGGCGCUUCCAACGGCCACUCCGCCGGGCAGCCCAGAGUGAGAGGCUCCUCACCCACCCCAAAGAUGUGGAUGGCAAUGACCUCCUGUCCUACUGGCCAGCCCUGGGGGAGUGCGAGGCAGCCCCCUGUGCUCUGCAAACUUGGGGGUCUGAAAGGCGCCUGGGGCUGGACACCAGCAAGGAUGCAGCUAACAACAACCAGCCAGACCCGGCCCUGACCAGUGGGGAUGAGACUUCUCUGGGCCGGGCCCAGCGCCAGAGGAAAGGUACAGUCCCUGAGCCCUGGCCCGCACCGCAGGCACGCUGGGGGCUGCUCAUGCCCUGAGCCAAGGGAUUGCAGCUUCCUCAUGCCAAACUGAGAGCUCUUCUUACUCUGACCUAGGGUGCUUCUGCUUCUCUAGCCUGCUUCAUGGUCCUCAGGGACUGCUCCUAUCCUGACCUGAGAAUUCUCUGUACCCCUCUACCCUGGCCAGCACCACAGGGGGUGUGGUGCUGGCCCAGCCUGUCUGUUUUUCAGAGACCCUAGGAGCUGCUUCCCCCCGCCCCCCACCCAGAUCCCAGAGCCCCUGCUCUGAUCUGGAAGAUUUCUGCCUCCUACUCUGCUUUUAUGGGGACCCAGAGAAGAGGUUUCUGCCUUCACCCUUGCAUCACAGGGACCUUGGGGACUGCUCCAGUCCAACCCAGGGGGUUCCUGCAUUUCAGCCAGGCCUGCAUUGUCAGGACCUGAGGGCUGCCCCUCUUCUGACCUCAGGGAGUUUGCCCCAUCCCCUGCACCAUGGGACCUGCCCGCCCUCCCCUUGCCCCGGGACCACAACUGGAAGAUGACUGCCCUUCCACUCUGACCCCUGUCCUGCUGCCUGUCUGGGACCACCAGGGUUGCCUCUGCUGCUCCCCAAGGGGUUCCUGCUCCCAACCUUGUGUUGGAAGGAUCCCAAGGGCUACCACACCCCUAGACUCAGCAAUUCCUGCCUGCCCUCCCCCUCCCACACACACCCUGCCCCCCAUUUUCUUCCUCUCACAGGCAUCCUGAAGAACCGGUUGCAAUAUCCACUGGUGCCACAGACCCGAGGUGCCCCUGAGCUGUCCUGGUGCCGUGCAGCCACCUUGGGCCACCGUGCUGUGCCAGCUGCCUCUUAUGGUCGCAUCUAUGCUGGCGGGGGCACAGGUAGCCUUUCACAGCCAGCCAGCCGCUACUCUUCUAGAGAACAGCUGGACCUGCUCCUCCGGCGGCAACUGAGCCGUGAGCGACUAGAGGAAGCCCCUGCCCCUGUUCUACGUCCCCUGAGCCGGCCAGGGUCCCAGGAAUGCAUGGACGCUGCACCAGGCCGACUGGAGCCCAGAGAUCGGGGCAGCACCCUGCCACGGAGGCAGCCACCCCGGGACUACCCUGGCACCAUGGCUGGCCGCUUCGGGUCACGGGAUGCGCUGGACUUAGGGGCACCUCGAGAGUGGUUGAGCACGCUGCCCCCGCCCCGCCGCACCCGGGACCCUGAUCCACAGCCGCCACCUCUACCCCUGUCUCCCCAGCGGCAACUCUCAAGGGACCCCCUCUUGCCAUCCCGGCCGCUGGACUCUCUGUCUAGGAGCUCGAACUCUCGGGAGCAGCUGGACCAGGUGCCUAGCCGGCACCCCUCACGAGAAGCCCUUGGGCCACCCCCGCAGCUGCUCAGAGCUAGGGAGGACCCGGUCAGUGGCCCCAGCCACGGCCCCUCCACAGAACAGCUGGACAUUCUUUCCUCCAUCCUUGCCUCUUUCAACUCCUCGGCCCUCUCCUCUGUGCAAUCUUCAAGCACACCCUCGGGCCCUCACACCACUGCCACACCUUCUGCCACAGCCUCUGUGCUUGGGCCCUCCACGCCACGUUCUGCCACAUCUCACAGCAUCACGGAGCCGUCGCCAGACUCAGAAGUUCCCAGAAGUGAGGGUCACUCCUGAGGGGAUGACGGCGUGGACGAGGAACAGCUGAGGGCGACAGAGGAUCUAGGCUAACAGGAGAGACUCCAGGAGUGGGGGCAGAUCCCAAGGCAGCCUCCUGCUCCCCAGUGGUGGGUGCCCCAGCUCUACCUGAUGUGGCAGGGCUGAAGCUCCAUGCGCAUCUGUGAGCAUGCGUGUGACAGGUGCAGAGAGGGGGGACUGGAGGGAGACUUUUAUAUGUUUUGUACCUUUGUAACCAGAGAGAUGCUUAUGUUAUUUUUCAGCUUUUCUGUCUCCUGGGGAGUUUGAGGCUGGGCUGGGAGGGGGAGGGAGAUAGAGGGAGAGAUGCAGUUUGACCCCAUUUGGGUCCCGAGCAAACCCUAUGCUCAUCUCUCUCUCCUUCCUGGGGUGGACUCAGAUGAGUGGGACACAUGCCUUCCUCCCCCUAUUCCACUCCCAAGUUGAUCUGAGUAUCAUCAGGGGCCCAAAGUACAGAAUUGUUCUUUGCUUUUUCUUGAAUGCUCCAAAGGCCAAACUUCUGGGGCUGGGGGUUGGUCUUGGAAACAGGGGUCUUCUGACUUCCCCAUGGGGGCUUGCUCAUACAGCCCCUCCCGGUGGAUGUGUGUGUUUAUUAUGUGGAGUCCCUGCCACUUACUGCCUUAUGACCUAGGACUGAUGCUGUGGGGUGCUGGUGGAGCAGCUGAUGUCGUGUUUACAGAGCAAGGCUUCCCUGUCUCCCAUUGGGAGGGGCUUGGGCCUCUAGUCAGACAUUCCUGCAGAGGGUCGGUGGAGGGGUCAUUCACCUGCCCCUGCAGCAAGCAAAAGUUGUCUGUGGUGCCAUUUGAUUCCCUGACACUGCCCCCUGCUUGAAUUGAUUCUGAAGGGUAGGGUGGGAAGGUGAGCAAAGGGAGCAGAAACAAGGGAAUUCAAGACCCAGAAUGUAGGUGCCACUGCCUCCUAUGUUUACAGGAUCCUCCGUGGCCCUAGGCACCUGGGCUGCAGGAAGUGACUCCGUUCCACUCCUCCUUUAUUCCCUUAAAAAGGGAAAAAUGACUGUUAUGACCCUGUUCACAAAACUCUUACUUUUGCUAUUUUGUCUGCUGUCCAGAACUGAAGACUUUAAAAUUUUGUGACUGUUUACAAGUCCAGAUUCAAAAAAUGUUUUUACUUUGUUUACAACUCAAAACUUUGAGUUUUAUACUUUGUUUACAGUAGAUAAUUUUUUUUCCCUUUGUUUACAAGUGAAAGGUAGGGAAAGUGGGAGAGGGACUUGGCGGACCCACCUGUGAGGACCCUGACCUGGCCAUCUUGAGGGCUUUUCUAACCACCAGCUCUCCCAGGCCGAAGGUCAGCCUUGAGUCCCCUGUCUAACAGCAGACCCAGAAGACCUUGAGAGUAGGCGUCCUCUAACCACUGGGGAGAGUGGCUGUGCAGGGUUGGGGGGUGGUCUGUGCAGACACCUCCUCACCCACCACCCCAUGCAUACUCUUGGGAAGCAGUUUCCUGGGAGAUUAGAAAUUCUACUUCCCUGAUUGGAGCUAAAUCCCACCAGCCAGGACCCAAACUCUCCUUACCCAGAAGGACCCCAGCUCUUGAAGGGCUGAGUGGCCUGCUGGGGGGUGGGAGGGUGU
rnacentral:sRNA from 1 species